UUAAAAAUAAGCUAAAUAAAGCUGUUGGGUUCAUACCCCAAAAAAGGAGCAAAUCCCUUUUUUUUAAA
rnacentral:tRNA from 1 species